rnacentral:lncRNA from 1 species
UCAGAAUCUGUCAAGUCUCGGGGUCUGCCUUGCACUGAGUUAUUCGUGGCUCCUGUGGGUGUAGCCAGCAAGCGCCACCUCUUUGAGAAGGAACUGGCGGGCCAGAGCCGAGCAGAACCAGCCUCCAGCCGGAAGGGCCUCUGAACAUGCCUCGCUGCUGCCAAGGGCCCUAAACCCUGAGAUGGAAAGUUCUCUUUUUAGGAGAACUUGAGGCUCUCAGGGGUUGUGACAUCAAGGCUCAACCUGUGGAUCAGCAGGACCCAGGAAUCUGGAGAUCAGGACCCCCAGGAGGCACAGAAAGCAUCAUCUGCAACCGAGAGGACUCAGUGGG